rnacentral:rRNA from 1 species
UAGGGAAUAUUGCGCAAUGGGCGAAAGCCUGACGCAGCGACGCCGCGUGAGUGACGAAGGCCUUCGGGUCGUAAAGCUCUGUUGUAAGGGAAAAUGAUGAUGGUACCUUAUAAGAAAGGACCGGCUAACUUCGUGCCAGCAGCCGCGGUAAGACGAGGGGUCCUAGCGUUGUUCGGAAUCAUUGGGCGUAAAGCGCAUGUAGGCGGCCUAUCAAGUCAGGUGUGAAAUCCCUGGGCUCAACCCAGGACGUGCACUUGAUACUGGUGGGCUUGAAUAGAGGAGAGGAUAGUGGAAUUCCUGGUGUAGUGGUGAAAUACGUAGAUAUCAGGAGGAACACCGGUGGCGAAGGCGGCUAUCUGGCCUCAUAUUGACGCUGAGAUGCGAAAGUGCGGGGAUCAAACAGGAUUAGAUACCCCUGUAGUCC